rnacentral:misc_RNA from 1 species
GAUGAAGAACGUAGUGAAAUGCGAUACGUAAUGUGAAUUGCAGAAUUCAGUGAAUCAUCGAAUCUUUGAACGCACAUUGCGCCCCUUGGUAUUCCGAGGGGCAUGCCUGUUCGAGCGUCAUUAUAACCCCUCAAGCUCAGCUUGGUGUUGGGGCCUGCCGCACGGGCAGCCCUUAAAAUCAGUGGCGGUGCCAUCUGGCUCUAAGCGUAGUAAUUCUUCUCGCUAUAGAGUCCCGGUGGAUGCUUGCCAUUAACCCCCAAUUUUCUAUGGUUGACCUCGGAUCAGGUAGGGAUACCCGCUGAACUUAAGCAUAUCAAUAAGCGGAGGA